rnacentral:rRNA from 1 species
CUACGGGUCGCAGCAGCGAGGAAUAUUGCACAAUGGGGGGAACCCUGAUGCAGCAACGCCGCGUGGAGGAUGACGCAUUUCGGUGUGUAAAUUCCUUUUAUAUGUCAAGAAAAUGACGGUAGCAUAUGAAUAAGCACCGGCUAACUCCGUGCCAGCAGCCGCGGUAAUACGGAGGGUGCAAGCGUUACUCGGAAUCACUGGGCGUAAAGGACGCGUAGGCGGAUUGGAAAGUCAGGUGUGAAAUCCUACAGCUUAACUGUAGAACUGCACUUGAAACUUCUAAUCUAGAGUAUGGGAGGGGGAGAUGGAAUUAGUGGUGUAGGGGUAAAAUCCGUAGAUAUCACUAGGAAUACCUAAAGCGAAGGCGAUCUCCUGGAACAUUACUGACGCUAAGGCGUGAAAGCGUGGGGAGCAAACAGGAUUAGAUACCCCGGUAGUC